rnacentral:rRNA from 1 species
GUGUCAGCAGCCGCGGUAAUACAGAGGUCCCAAGCGUUGUUCGGAUUCAUUGGGCGUAAAGGGUGCGUAGGCGGUGGGGUAAGUUGGAUGUGAAAUCUUGGGGCUUAACCUCAAAAUUGCAUUCAAUACUGCUCCGCUCGAGUUCUGUAGAGGAGAUUGGAAUUUACGGUGUAGCAGUGAAAUGCGUAGAUAUCGUAAGGAACGCCAGUGGCGAAAGCGAAUCUCUGGGCAGCAACUGACGCUGAGGCACGAAGGCCAGGGGAGCAAACGGGAUUAGAUACCCCGGUAGUCCUGGCAGUAAACGGUGCGCGUUUGGUGUGGGCAGGUUCGACCCUGUCCGCGCCGAAGCUAACGCAUUAAACGCGCCGCCUGGGAAGUACGAUCGCAAGAUUAAA